GACCGCGUAGCUCAGUUGGCAGAGCAUUGGGCUAGUAUUCCAAAGGUCGUAGGUUGAACUAGGUUCGAUUCCCACCGUGGUCA